rnacentral:sRNA from 1 species
AUUAGGAGACGGGUGACGUUGUCACUCAACUCCGCCGA